UACGGGGGAGCAAGCGUUGUUCGGAUUUACUGGCGUAAAGGGCGCGUAGGCGGCGCAACAAGUCACUUGUGAAAUCUCCGGGCUUAACCCGGAGCGGUCAAGUGAUACUGUCGUGCUAGAGUGCGGAAGGGGCUACUGGAAUUCUCGGUGUAGCGGUGAAAUGCGUAGAUAUCGAGAGGAACACCUGCGGCGAAGGCGGGUAGCUGGGCCGACACUGACGCUGAUGCGCGAAAGCCAGGGGAGCGAACGGG
rnacentral:rRNA from 1 species